AGGGAUUCUAAUGGAGUCAAAUAGAAACGGAGCUAGCAGAGUCUGGAGCCCUGUGGGUGCUCAGAAAUGAGAAAUGAAAGGCAUGAGAGACAGGAAGGGGGGAAGGUAACCAGGCGUCGUCUAUGGGGCAGAGAGACUCUGCUUUGUGUGUGCAGAGAAGGUCAUCUGACAUCCCCGAGGUUAUCUGCUACGCUGAAUGGCAGCAUCUGUUCGUGCCAGAGCAAACAGGAGGGCCCAUUCCAAAAAAAGGCCAUUAGGGAGCGUUGGAAGUUGAAGAAGAUGGGACUACGCAUUGUAUGUUCCAGCCUCCUCUGUCCACACGGUGCCAACCUCACAUGCGCCAUUGUAAAUACUGUUUCUCCCCAGCCAAAGAAUAAGUCAAGCGCUGCUGGGAACUCCCAGGACUCAGGGCCAUCCUUGUGGCCACCCUGGAAAGUGCUUCCCCACCAUGGGCAAUCCAGAAUGACUCAGACUUGCCAUAGAAUUACUGCAUCUCUCAGUCCUCUUUGGCUUAUAGGCUUAUAGUGGAUUUGCUCGAAGUAACAGGAGAAGAGUUGGUUUCAUCCUCAUUCUGGCCUCCCCCGAGAAGUUCUUCUCUCCGAGAAUCUUCAGGAGGAUCUUAAAGACCACCUAACCUGGUUGGAAUUGUGCUUCACGCCACUAGGCUAUGUUCCCAGCAGUGUUUGCUGUGGCUUUGGCUGGGGCCAGCU
rnacentral:lncRNA from 1 species